rnacentral:rRNA from 1 species
GUGAGGAAUAUUGGUCAAUGGGCGAGAGCCUGAACCAGCCAAAUCGCGUGAAGGAUGAAGGUAUUAUGUAUUGUAAACUUCUUUUACAGGGGAAUAAAGUGCGGGACGUGUCCCGUUUUGUAUGUACCCUGAGAAUAAGGAUCGGCUAACUCCGUGCCAGCAGCCGCGGUAAUACGGAGGAUCCAAGCGUUAUCCGGAUUUAUUGGGUUUAAAGGGUGCGUAGGCGGGUAAUCAAGUCAGCGGUGAAAGUUUGCGGCUCAACCGUAAAAUUGCCGUUGAAACUGGUUACCUUGAGUGUAGAUGAGGUGGGUGGAAUUCGUGGUGUAGCGGUGAAAUGCUUAGAUAUCACGAAGAACUCCAAUUGCGUAGGCAGCUCACUGGGCUACAACUGACGCUGAGGCACGAAGGUGCGGGGAUCAAACAGGAUUAGAAACCCCUGUAGUCC